CAUACGGGAUGAAGGAGUUAAUUUCGUAAUUCAGAAGGGGAGUACACUGGUCUGUAGUCGGCAUUUCUCAGCGGCUGAUUAUGACGACGGGAGUGCUACGCUGAAUACUGGAGCUGUUCCCAGUCGUUUUGACUGGAACAGCUACAUCACAGCCCCGAAGAAAACACCCGUGUAUAAACGGGUGUCAGCUCUAAAAGCUGAAGGAGAGGACAAAACACAAACGGACCGGAGAGGUACCGGGGAACAUGACUACGCGACACGCCCCCCUGCCGGUUCACUGGAUGAUGCCCUGGAGUAUAUUGCUGAGCUGGAGGCAAGGCUGCAAGAAAUGUCCAUGGGGCCACAAACUGUCCUCAACAGAUUUUGUGUGUCUGAUCAGACCAUGAAAUAUUACACUCGGUUUCCAUCUCAAGAAGUGUUUCAAGUGUUUUGGGAGUCUGUUUGCCCCUCAACACAAUAUAUUGUUUAUUGGAGCAAAGCACAGAGGAUUGGACAAGAGGCGAUUCCAACACCAAGCCCUUCAAGGAAGAUUCCAGUCAUUGAUGAGUUUUUCAUCUACUGUUGUAGAGUAGCAACUGGCCUUAAAGAACAGGUCAUUGCUGACAUCUUCCAGGUCAGCACAGCUGAGAGGGUA